UCUCCGUAGGUGAACCUGCGGAAGGAUCAUUACAGAGUUCUCGCCCUCACGGGUAGAUCUCCCACCCACUGUUAUCGUUACUGUCGUUUCUUUGGCGGGCCGCCGGGUCCCCGGCCGCCGGCGCCUAGCUGCCGGCGCGCGCCCGCCAGAGGCCUUCAAACUCUGAAUGUUAGUGUCGUCUGAGUACUAUAUAAUAGUUAAAACUUUCAACAACGGAUCUCUUGGUUCUG
rnacentral:misc_RNA from 1 species